AAGAAUUGAUAAAUGUGUUUAUGAGUUAAUAAAAACUUGAAACAAGGGAAAUUAUCGGAACGAAGCCAAAGAGGUUAUGUGAACAUGUGGAAAAGAGAAUGCAAAAAUUGAGACUCUAAAUUGGCAUCAUUUAUUAUGGCUUCCAUUAUUGCAUAUAUAUGUGUAAAUGAGGCUACCACUUCUUCAGUUGGAACAGAAAGGCCUCCUCUUUCAACUGCAUGGGACCCACAGCCAGCUAUAUAUAGUACGACCGAAUCAUCUAUAACACAA